UUAUGCCCGAAAUAACUCUUUGUGCAGGCAUGAAGCUGAGUUGAUUAAUGCUUCCGCACAGCCUUUACCAGAUGAUGAUGAUGAUCUGUUUGAUUAGAAGAAAUCUUUUGAACGGGCUUUUCCUCUUUUGGCCUGCCUCUUCUUACUUAAUGAAACGGGAUCCUUCUUCUGACUUUAAAGAUCAUCAUCUCCAGUAAAAGUAGUUCCUCCUACACAGCAGCAAGGACACAUAGAUGAUGAUGAGUCAAGUUCUCAUCCCUGGGUUGAUCUCAAGGCUGCACUUGCUAGACUUAUACUACAUCAUCAAGUGCAUGGACCCUUGUACAACAGAGAAGCUUAAUGCGUAGACACAAAACAGCAAGGAUCGUCUGAUGUUGCAGGUGAAGGUGAAGAAUGGGUGAUUCUGCAUUCAUGGAAGACUGUAUGGAUCACCUCCUGAUAUGUAUACAGCAUAAUCAUAAACCCUUUGCUGUAUUCAGCCUAUUUUUUUUUUUAUGUAAUGAGUUUUUUCCCACAUUGCUAGUGAAGAAAAGAAAUGAUAUGUAUAUAACAUAUUAUAAUUAA